GGAAUUUAAAAUAGUGUCACGUGACCGGAUUUGUCGCUGAAAACGAACGACCUCACCUCAAGUCGUUCAUUCAAAUAAAAAGACUAUAUCACCCUGACGUGGUUCAUACGCAACGUACCAUUUGAUGAAGGUGUAAGCACACACGCCUCUUCAGAUCUAAUAGAACGGUUCGCCGAGUUCAGUCAGCGAGUUCGCAAAGCACCGUACAGGCACAAAACCUCUGUUGACCUUCGCGAGGUCAACUUUCAUCCGCAUAAUAUUCACUCAGGCAGUAAAAAAUGACCGGAUAUGCACUCGGGCUCCGGCUUAACGACUUAUAACUAUACAUGGCAAGACUCGUCCAGGUGUCACUGCAUAUUUCGUCGCUCGUCAAACUUAAAUGUAUUCAAUAGUGUACUCCUAUAAACUAUGUCCUAUGAAAGCUUAGACUAAGUAAAUCUCUCACAGUACAGCCAGAUAGAUGAAGAAGCAAAAGUGUUUAGAAAUAUUGAGUGAUUCGUUAAUCGUCUUCAUCUUUGAUUGCAUAGCACAAAACAUAGCAAACCGGUGGGCAGAAAUAAAAGUCUUGAAUGUGUAAGACAAAGAAUUGAAUCAACCGACCUCUAAUACUACCAUUUCAAAUUUGAUAUAUGCCAGUUCUAUGUAAUAUAAAAGGAUUGACGUAAUUGAAUAAUUCAAUGAUUCAAAUUAAA